AAACAUGUCACAAUUCCAUCCCCAUAAGGAUUAUUGACAACGUUACAUGAAAUUGCACUAGUGUAAAAAAAUCUCUCAACCAUUCGAUACACUUGCCUUCUCUCUCCCUUUUUGUAUGUGGAAUUCAACGUUGUUUGGCGAGCCUCGGAUGAGAUAUACUUGUUAAGCGGUCCUAUAGGACUAGGGGGUGGAGCAAUUGAAUGUGGUAUACUCCCACUACCACACACACUCUGACUUCCAACACCAC
rnacentral:lncRNA from 1 species